ACCGAACCAAAUUAUACAAAACCUGAAAACCUGAACCAAAAAACUGAAACUGAAAAUUUUGGUUCAGUUUUUCAGUUUUAGCCAAAUAAUGCUCACCCCUACAAGGACACUCCUGAACCUGGAGUACCUUUGCUUGAAAAAAUGUUACUGCUGCAAAACUAAUAUCAGGAUGGAGAAAUGGUUAAAUGUUCACUUUUAUACUCCAGGUAAUGGAGAGUUUGCAAAACUUAACACAUUUUACAAGAGCUGUGGCUUGGACGCAAUCACAUCCAAAUGGUAAACCUGUGUGGACUAAGAUGCAUCAAGAAGAUUAGCUUGCAGAUCACCGCUUGAUAUCCAUGUUGGGAUUUCAGGAUUGUGUUUCUUUAGAAGAGCUAUACUUGAGCCAUAAUGGUAUUUCAAAGAUGGAAGGGCUAUCCACCUUGGUUAACCUGCGUGUUCUGGAUGUUUUUUCAAACGUGUUAACAACCAGAUGACAUUGAACACCUGACAAGGCUGGAGGAUCUGUGGCUCAGUGACAACCAAAUAGCAUAACUUGGAGGCACUGAUGUAGCUGUCACAGGUUCAAGGCAAAAGCUCACAACCAUUUAUCUUGAGCACAAUCCAUUUGUAUGGUUCCUAAGUUCAACAAGGCUCUAAUUGUUCUUCACUUAAUACCAAUUGCUCAUAUAUGUUAUUUCCAAUUUACUAUUGGUCUAUUGCUAUUUCUAUUGAAAGGUUAUACAUUCUCUUGGUUAUGUCUGUUUUUCUAGCAUAUUGAAGUUUUCUUUUGCCUUUUUCCCUAUUCCUGGUGGCAAAUCUGCCAAUUUUGGUCAUUCUUCGUGUACUUCUUGCAAAAGCCACUUCAAUGUAGAAGCACAACUAAGGCAGGUCAGGUUGUGGGCCAACCUGGGGCCAAACCUAGGAACUGGGAACUGCAACCUCACCUCCCACAAGGAUCAACCUGAGUUUUUCAACCUGWUCUCAGCCAAAAUCUAACUUAUUUGACUACAACUGAACCUGGUUGAGUUGUGCUAGGUCUAGUAUCAAGUAUUGGGCUUAUUUUGCUCUCUCUGCCAGUAACUAGCAAUUUAUUUUCAUUUUUUUAUUGAUUUAGCUAUUAAUUUAUCUGAUUCUGAUUUCUGAUAUGUUUAUGAAGUUUUAUUCCUAAGUGCAAUAUACCAUGAAUGUGAAAUUUUCUGGAAUAGAAAUUUUAGAGUUGGUAAUAGAAAUUUUGUGGGUGCAACUUAUCUAGGGCCAUUUCCUGUUCAUUCAAGUUUCUAAACCUGUAUUGAAUCUGAUGUAGCACCAGUGACCCUACUCUUGGGGCCACCUUCCACUGGUGUUCUAGUUUUUUAUUUUUUAUCACUAUAUGUCUUUUUUUGAUUAUUAUAUAUGUCAAAACCAUCAGAAUCAUCUUUCCUUAUUAUAUCACCUAUGGUUGCUCCAUCCAUCUUGAGAGUCUCAAUAUCAGCCAUUCUAUGAACAUGAUGCUUGUUGAUAGUUAAAUAUCUCACAACAAAAGGGGCAUGUAAUCGUGAUAUAAUCUCAUUAUGUUUUGCUUGAAUUUGAUUAGUGUAUAUAGGUUAUGUUGCACAAUUAGAAGCCCAGGUUCUCUCUUGUUGGCCAAAUCUGCUUCAAUUGGCCACAUCAUUCUCAAUUUACUUUCUGUAUGGAUAGCUCAACCAGGAAAAGGAACCAAACUUAUUGGAGUAGCUUCCCAGGUCUACUUUAUUCUUCUCACUUAACACUGCCACAGCAUAUCCUACUUCAAAUACUUUCUAUUUAUAGCUUUCUUCAGUUCUAUCUCGUUGGGGGCUUAAAUUAGUUGGACAAUCAUCAGAUAUGAGAUACAUUCCUACCAGCCACUGUUAAACAUUUCAUUUCUUAGUAGGUUCUUCAGAAUCGGUAUAUUACUUAUAUUUAUAGAACAGUGCGUGGAAGGGAAAAACUUAUUUUCUGAUGAUAUACUUCUAAUGUUAUCAUAUUAUGAUGUCUAUAUGUCUCAAUUUAACAAAUAAGAAGGUUUAUUGUCAAAUUACAGGUUAAAAAUAUUGUUGUCAAUUAUAAUAAGGUCUUAUCAGGUCAGACCUGAUAGCCCCAAUUAUAGACCCUAUAGGAUCUGGUUAAGAAAUGGUUCUGCACAUUUAUUUAUUGGGUUGGGACCUUAGUUAGCAUACUUAAUUAUGAACUGGUUCUAACACUUAUGCACAAUCUGUACAUAUCAAGGCUCAUUUGGUCUUUGAUAGUUCCUUUGCACCAAUGGUACGAUUGCUCUUGUUUUGCAGGCAACUCCAUCAAAUUACUCUGCUAUUCUUCAAAAUAUUUUCCCAAAUCUUCAGCAGAUUGAUUCAGAUUUCAGACAUAUUCUCCUAGGACUCCAAGCUUUUCCCUUCUUAUGCUAUUUCAAGGACAGUGUGAGUUCAUACUGAAAGCUCCAAGAAAAAUGGACCAACCUGAUACAAGUUGGUGCGGAUGAUGAAGUUAAUUUAUAUCGUAGGUUUAAAGGUUAGCUCAGUUGGUUCUUGAACAUUCCUUUUCCACAAGGAGAUGAGAAUGCAGCUCUAGAGCAGGGCUGGAUGAACGUACACAACUUUUUCAAUUGCAUCUGUCAAGAUAAAUUUGGUUACUGUAUAUCAUCUAAAUCUUACCCUCUCUUUGCACACACUUGGGUGGGGCUUUAUCUUCUUUUUUUAUGUUUUUUUUUUUUUUUCCUGCUAGUGGACCAGGAAUGGGAAUUUCUUGGAUUUGAUUCCCUCGUACAUUUUCAGCCAAGGAAUUGUAGACCCUUUGACUGAGAGGAGAGAUUAUAAUCCAAAUGGGUAGUGGAUGUAUUUAGGUCUAGAUUAUAAUUACUGUAAUUUGAUGAAUUUUUAUAUUUGUUUUCUUAUGGAUCGAAAUGAAUCUAUGAGCCUGUGGCUGCUACUGUUCGCUAUUGUCCACCGAUCAUGUGGAACAAAAUGUGGUAUCAGGUGUGGUACGUUCCUUGGUACUGUAAAAACCCCGACCAGCCCGGCCAUGCCCAUGAUCAUCUCUGUUUGGUAAUUGAUGGUACCCUUGUAUAAGGGUGCAGCUUGGGCUGGAUUAGCCCCAAUCCAACCCAAAAGGUUGAAGUUGGGUUAGGCUUAAUGUUGAAAAAUAUCAACCCAACUUCGGGUUGGGCUAGGGUUAAAGCUGACCCAGUCUGAAGUUAACAUGUGUUUAUAUUUGUAUAUGAGGCUGCGUUUGGUUGGAGGAAA